CUCAUUCUCUCUUUUGCUUUUCAGAUCCUCUCUGUUGAUUUAACAUUUGCUUGUGCUCUGGGCUUUCAUAGGAUGGAGGUGAGGUUGGAUUUGACCAGAGUCAUAUUUCAGAAGCUGUAGGAUCCAAGACAUGGGUCCCCAGGCAGAAUCCUACUCUGAUCUCUGUGUGUUGGGCAUUAACUCAUGAGAGUCCACUUGGCUACAUGGUUCAAUGGUGGUGUGCUUGACUUUAGCCUAUGACCCCAGUGCCAAACGAGCAGGUCCAAGACCUCUUCUUGGACGCUACCACAAUUGGCUAUUUCCUUCAUCUAUCCUGGAAGGUGUCAUCUACUCACCUUGAGAGACUUUGCCAGAUGGAAGCCUCAUUGCCUUAAGACUCUCGUCAGUGGCCUGGCAUCCUGAGAAUAUGCCCAUCUGCUGGAAUGGGAGGAGGCCAAGGAGGAGACAGAGUUUUGAUCUUUUAUCAAGAACAGAAAAUUUUCUUUGUGGACAGAACGGAGAGAGGUAGAACAUAAAGAAAGAGUUGAGCUAACUAUGAGGUGCCCUGAAUUCUAGUCUUUGCUUGGACCUCUUUUGCGACCUUGGGCAAGUGACUUCCCCUUCCAGGGCCUUCUCAGUUUCUUCAGCUGGAAAAUGCUUAUGAUGGUAAUUCCUGCUCAUGCCAUUCCCUCCGUUUGCCUACCCCUUCUUUGCCUCUCCAAAUAUUACUCAAGCCAACUUCUUCCAUGUAGCAUUCCUGAUCAUCCUCCUCCUCAUCCCACCCCUUACCCCAAAGCCAGAAGUGAUCUCUCCCUCAGGUCACUCAUGAUAUCUAUAUUUCUCCUAUGCAGUU